rnacentral:lncRNA from 1 species
GUAUUGCUUAUCACAUCUACAAUUUAUUGUAAAUUCUAGCAAAGCCGAGGGGAGAUUGACGAGAGGAAUAUUGCAUAAAGGUUUGUUUAUGCAAGACACUACUCCACAUAUCAUGAAUGUAAGUGUCUAAGAGGAAACAAGAUGAGGUGAAUAGUGCAUACCUAUGGCAUUGUAGGCUAGGUCAUAUCCAUGAGGGAAUGAUUCAAAAGUUGCU